GACGAACGCUGGCGGCGUGCCUAAUACAUGCAAGUAGAACGCUGAAGGAAGGAGCUUGCUCUUUCUGGAUGAGUUGCGAACGGGUGAGUAACGCGUAGGUAACCUGCCUGGUAGCGGGGGAUAACUAUUGGAAACGAUAGCUAAUACCGCAUAAAAUUGAUUAUUGCAUGAUAGUCAAUUAAAAGGUGCAACUGCACCACUACCAGAUGGACCUGCGUUGUAUUAGCUAGUUGGUGGGGUAACGGCUCACCAAGGCGACGAUACAUAGCCGACCUGAGAGGGUGAUCGGCCACACUGGGACUGAGACACGGCCCAGACUCCUACGGGAGGCAGCAGUAGGGAAUCUUCGGCAAUGGACGGAAGUCUGACCGAGCAACGCCGCGUGAGUGAAGAAGGUUUUCGGAUCGUAAAGCUCUGUUGUAAGAGAAGAACGAGUGUGAGAGUGGAAAGUUCACACUGUGACGGUAUCUUACCAGAAAGGGACGGCUAACUACGUG
rnacentral:rRNA from 1 species